GACGAACGCUGGCGGCGUGCUUAACACAUGCAAGUCGAACGGAAAGGCCCUGCUUGCAGGGUACUCGAGUGGCGAACGGGUGAGUAACACGUGGGUGCUCUGCCCUGCACUUCGGGAUAAGCUUGGGAAACUGGGUCUAAUACCGGAUAGGAGCCAUCUUUUGUGUGGUGGUUGGAAAGUUUUUUCGGUGUAGGAUGAGCUCGCGGCCCAUCAGCUUGUUGGUGGGGUAAUGGCCUACCAAGGCGGCGACGGGUAGCCGGCCUGAGAGGGUGUACAGCCACAUUGGGACUGAGAUACGGCCCAGACUCCUGCGUGAGGCAGCAGUGGGGAAUAUUGCACCAUGGGCGCAAGCCUGAUGCAGCGACGCCGCGUGUGGGAUGAAGGCCUUCGGGUUGUAAACACCUUUCGCUAGGGACGAAGCUUUUUUGUGACGGUACCUAGAGAAGAAGCACCGGCUAACUACGUG
rnacentral:rRNA from 1 species